CAUUACAGAGUUCUGGGUCCUUCGGGGCCCGUCCUCCAACCCCUUGUAUACCUACCUCGUUGCUUUGGCGGACCGUCGCGCCGAGAGGCGCGCGUCCGGCCCCCCCUAACCCGGGGGCUGGGGAGCGUCCGCCGGAGGAAUUUCAAACUCUUGUUUGUAACAAUGCAGUCUGAUCGAAUAUCAAAUAUUCUAAAACUUUCAACAACGGAUCUCUUGGUUCUGGCAUCGAUGAAGAACGCAGCGAAAUGCGAUAAGUAAUGUGAAUUGCAGAAUUCAGUGAAUCAUCGAAUCUUUGAACGCACAUUGCGCCCCUUGGCAUUCCGAGGGGCAUGCCUGUUCGAGCGUCAUUACAACCCUCAAGCUCUGCUUGGUAUUGGGCUUCGUCCUCAUCGGACGUGCCUCAAAGGCCUCGGCGGUGGCGUCUUGCCCUCAAGCGUAGUAAAACUUUCUCGCUUUGGAGGUCGGGGCGCCCCCCGCCGGACGAACCUUUUUACUUCUAUCAAGGUUGACCUCGGAUCAGGUAGGGAUACCCGCUGAACUUAAGCAUAUCAAUAA
rnacentral:rRNA from 1 species